rnacentral:rRNA from 1 species
GCAUAAUUAUUAGUUUUUUAAUUGAAAGCUUGUAUGAAGGGUUGGACGAGAUGAAAUCUGUCUUUAUUUAAAUUAAAAUAUAAUUUAACUUUUAAGUAAAAAGGCUUAAAUGUUUAUAAAAGACGAGAAGACCCUAUAGAUCUUUAUUUAAUUAAAAUUUUAAUAAUUUAGGAUUAUUUUAAUUUAAAGUUUUGAUUAAAUUUUAUUGGGGUAAUAUAAAGAUUAAAUAAAUUCUUUUUAUUUAUAACAUUAAUUUAUGAAUGUAUGAUCCAUUAAUAUUGAUUAUAAGAUUAAGUUACCUUAGGGAUAACAGCGUAAUUUUUUUGGAGAGCUCGUAUCGAUAAAAAAGUUUGCGACCUCGAUGUUGGAUUAAAAAUUAGCUUGGGUGCAGAAGCUCAAGAUUUUGGUCUGUUCGACCAUUAAAUUUUUACAUGAUCUGAGUUCAGACCGGCGUAAGCCAGGUCGGUUUCUAUCUUUAUUAAAAUAAAAUAUUUUAGUACGAAAGGACCAAAUAUUUAAUAUAAUUAUAUUUAUUUUUUGAAGAAUAUU